ACAUUUAAGUGUAUGAUGCACAUUAGUUUUUGAUACUAAAAGGGUUAGUUUAAUUCUUACUUAUGU
rnacentral:tRNA from 1 species